AUUGAACACUGGCGGCAGGCCUAACACAUGCAAGUCGAACGAGUGGCGGACGGGUGAGUAAUGUCUGGGAAACUGCCCGAUGGAGGGGGCUAACUACUGGAAACGGUAGCUAAUACCGCAUACCCUCGGAUGUGCCCAGAUGGGAUUAGCUAGUAGGUGGGGUAACGGCGCACCUAGGCGACGAUCCCUAGCUGGUCUGAGAGGAUGACCAGCCAAACUGGAACUGAGACACGGCCCAGACUCCUACGGGAGGCAGCAGUGGGGAAUAUUGCACAAUGGGCGCAAGCCUGAUGCAGCCAUGCCGCGUGUAUGAAGAAGGCCUUCGGGUUGUAAAGUACUUUCAGCGAGGAGGCGUUACUCGCAGAAGAAGCACCGGCUAACUCCGUGCCAGCAGCCGCGGUAAUAC
rnacentral:rRNA from 1 species